rnacentral:rRNA from 1 species
GAUGAACGCUGGCGGCGUGCCUAACACAUGCAAGUCGAGCGGAUCUUCUUCGGAAGAGAGCGGCGGACGGGUGAGUAACGCGUGGGUAACCUGCCCUGUACACACGGAUAACAUACCGAAGGUAUGCUAAUACGAGAUAAUAGUACUUUUAUCGCAUGGUAGAAGUAUCAAAGCUCCGGCGGUACAGGAUGGACCCGCGUCUGAUUAGCUAGUUGGUAAGGUAACGGCUUACCAAGGCGACGAUCAGUAGCCGACCUGAGAGGGUGAUCGGCCACAUUGGAAC